UACGGGGGGGGCUAGCGUUGUUCGGAAUUACUGGGCGUAAAGGGCUCGUAGGCGGCCAACUAAGUCAUGCGUGAAAUCCCUCGGCUUAACCGGGGAACUGCGUCUGAUACUGGAUGGCUUGAAUCCGGGAGAGGGAUGCGGAAUUCCAGGUGUAGCGGUGAAAUGCGUAGAUAUCUGGAGGAACACCGGUGGCGAAGGCGGCAUCCUGGACCGGCAUUGACGCUGAGGCGCGAAAGCCAGGGGAGCAAACGGG
rnacentral:rRNA from 1 species